rnacentral:rRNA from 1 species
GCAUAUCAAUAAGCGGAGGAAAAGAAACCAACAGGGAUUGCCUUAGUAACGGCGAGUGAAGCGGCAACAGCUCAAAUUUGAAAUCUGGCCUUCGGGUCCGAGUUGUAAUUUGUAGAGGAUGCUUUUGGUGCGGUGCCUUCCAAGUUCCCUGGAACGGGACGCCUUAGAGGGUGAGAGCCCCGUACGGUUGGACACCUAGCCUCUGUAAAGCUCCUUCGACGAGUCGAGUAGUUUGGGAAUGCUGCUCUAAAUGGGAGGUAAACUUCUUCUAAAGCUAAAUACCGGCCAGAGACCGAUAGCGCACAAGUAGAGUGAUCGAAAGAUGAAAAGCACUUUGAAAAGAGGGUUAAAUAGCACGUGAAAUUGUUGAAAGGGAAGCGUUUGCGACCAGACUUUCUCUAGGCGGAUCAUCCGGUGUUCUCACCGGUGCACUUCGUCUAGUUUAGGCCAGCAUCGGUUUCUGCAGGGGGAUAAAGGCCUGGGGAAUGUAGCUCCUUCGGGAGUGUUAUAGCCCCUCGCGUAAUACCUUUGCGGGGACCGAGGACCGCGCUUCGGCAAGGAUGCUGGCAUAAUGGUCGUCAACGACCCGUCUUGAAACACGGACCAAGGAGUCGAACAUUUGUGCGAGUGUUUGGGUGUUAAACCCUCACGCGUAAUGAAAGUGAACGGAGGUGAGAGCCCUUACGGGUGCAUCAUCGACCGAUCCUGAUGUCUUCGGAUGGAUUUGAGUAAGAGCAUAACUGUUCGGACCCGAAAGAUGGUGAACUAUGCGUGGAUAGGGUGAAGCCAGAGGAAACUCUGGUGGAGGCUCGCAGCGGUUCUGACGUGCAAAUCGAUCGUCAAAUCUGCGCAUGGGGGCGAAAGACUAAUCGAACCAUCUAGUAGCUGGUUACCGCCGA